UAUGAGGCUUUUAUAAAAGCCAUUUUUAGAUACCUUGAAUUAUCAU
rfam:Physcomitrella patens subsp. patens PHYPAscaffold_517 genomic scaffold, whole genome shotgun sequence.